UACGUAACAUCUCUUGUUAUUUGUAAAGCCUUUUUAAAUGAGUAAACAGCUACAUUAUCUAAUCUAAUGCAUCAUGCAAGAGUUUGAAAGAAAAAGCUCCAAGACACCACCCAGUAGGGGCACUUAGCCCCACCCCUUCCAGAAGUUUUGCCAUAAAAGAUGCGCAGCCUAAAGAGAGGUGAUUUUUGCUGGAAGACCCAAAUAAGCCACAGAACAGAGCACAACAUUAGAAAGAGGAACAACUGACCAGGAAGUAGCACAUUUACCAGAGGACUGACAACCUCACUGCCUUUGAUGUCACUUCCGUUGUUCGUAAACUUGAACCCGCCUUUUCCUGCCUGGCCUGUACUUAACCAGAAGUGUUGCCAUCUUGUAUAGUCUAAUUUGAGACUCGCAUUCCUUAGAGACGUUAUUUUGCUGUAAAGCUUUUAUUUAUUUAUUUAUUUAUUUUUGCUUUUACAA